rnacentral:rRNA from 1 species
AGGGUUUGAUCAUGGCUCAGAACGUACGCUGGCGGCACGCCUAACACAUGCAAGUCGAACGAAGUAGCAAUACUUAGUGGCAGACGGGUGAGUAACAUGUAGGUAUCUGCCCUUUGGCCUGGAAUAACACGAGGAAACUUGUGCUAAUACCGGAUAAGUCUUUACGGAGAAAGCUUUAUGCACCAUUGGAUGAGCCUGCACUUGAUUAGUUUGUUGGUGGGGUAAUGGCCUACCAAGACUGUGAUCAAUAGCUGAUUUGAGAGGAUGAUCAGCCACAUUGGGACUGAGACACGGCCCAAACUCCUACGGGAGGCAGCAGUGGGGAAUCUUGCACAAUGGAGGAAACUCUGAUGCAGCGAUGCCGCGUGAGUGAAGAAGGCCCUUGGGUUGUAAAGCUCUUUCGUCGGGGAAGAAAAUGACUGUACCCGAAUAAGAAGGUCCGGCUAACUUCGUGCCAGCAGCCGCGGUAAUACGAAGGGACCUAGCGUAGUUCGGAAUUACUGGGCUUAAAGAGUUCGUAGGUGGUUGAAAAAGUUGGUGGUGAAAUCCCAGAGCUUAACUCUGGAACUGCCAUCAAAACUUUUCAGCUAGAGUAUGAUAGAGGAAAGCAGAAUUUCUAGUGUAGAGGUGAAAUUCGUAGAUAUUAGAAAGAAUACCAAUUGCGAAGGCAGCUUUCUGGAUCAUUACUGACACUGAGGAACGAAAGCAUGGGUAGCGAAGAGGAUUAGAUACCCUCGUAGUCCAUGCCGUAAACGAUGUGUGUUAGACGUUGGAAAUUUAUUUUCAGUGUCGCAGCGAAAGCAAUAAACACACCGCCUGGGGAGUACGACCGCAAGGUUAAAACUCAAAUGAAUUGACGGGGACCCGCACAAGUAGUGGAGCAUGUGGUUUAAUUCGAAGAUACGCGCAGAACCUUACCAACACUUGACAUGUUCGUCGCGACUCUAAGAGAUUAGAGUUUUCGGUUCGGCCGGACGAAACACAGGUGCUGCAUGGCUGUCGUCAGCUCGUGUCGUGAGAUGUUGGGUUAAGUCCCGCAACGAGCGCAACCCCUACCUUUAGUUGCCACCAUUAAGUUGGGCACUUUAAAGGAACUGCCAGUGAUAAGCUGGAGGAAGGUGGGGAUGACGUCAAGUCCUCAUGGCCCUUACGUGUUGGGCUACACACGUGCUACAAUGGCACUUACAGUGGGAAGCUAAGACGCGAGUCCAAGCUAAUCCCUAAAAUGUGCCUCAGUUCGGAUUGCACUCUGUAACUCGAGUGCAUGAAGCUGGAAUUACUAGUAAUCGCGGAUCAGCGCGCCGCGGUGAAUACGUUCCCGGGUCUUGUACACACCGCCCGUCACACCAUGGAAGUUGGUUACACCUUAAGGCAAAUCGUCAACCUUCGGGAGACAUUUGACUACGGUACGAUCAGCAACUGGGGUGAAGUCAUAACAAGGUA